UCCCUGGUGGUCCAGUGGUUGUGACUCCUGCUGGUAAUGCAGGGGGCAUGGGUUCGAUCCCUGGCCAGGGAA
rnacentral:tRNA from 1 species